AUCCUCAUUUUGAGGUUUUGUAGAUUUAAUAUCAAUCCUCCUGCCACCUGAGCCGGUGGGAUUUUCCAUUUCUUUUGCAGCUCGGGACUCUCACCACUCGCUGUGAAUCAUGUGCUGUGGAAUUCACAGUCAGCAGACCUCAGAUGACCUGGACACCUUGGGGAGAUUUCAGACGGCCAAAUCUGUCGCAAGAGCAGGGAAGCUGUUCUGGUCUUUGUGGUGGAGCAACAAAUCGUACCGACGCUGUUCCCACAACUUGUCACCUGUAUUUACAUCUGAAAGGGUGAUAAAGAGCAACCCGCACCGUAAACAGAAAAUAAACAAAAUAAUCUGUAUUUUAUGGAA